rnacentral:pre_miRNA from 1 species
AACAAUAUCCUGAUGCUGAGUGAGUGGUGCUCGCAGACUCCAGCAUCAGUGAUUUUGUUGA